GAUGAAGAACGUAGCGAAAUGCGAUAAGUAAUGUGAAUUGCAGAAUUCAGUGAAUCAUCGAAUCUUUGAACGCACAUUGCGCCCCCCAGUAUUCUGGCGGGCAUGCCUGUUCGAGCGUCAUUUCAACCAUCAAGCCCUGCUUGUGUUGGGGUCCUGCGGCUGCCCGCAGGCCCUGAAAACCAGUGGCGGGCUCGCUAGUCACACCGAGCGCAGUAGCACAUCUCGCUCAGGGCGUGCGGCGGGCUCCAGCCGUUAAAGCACCCACCGUUCGCAAGGUUGACCUCGGAUCAGGUAGGAAUACCCGCUGAACUUAAGCAUAUCAAUAAGCGGAGGA
rnacentral:misc_RNA from 1 species